rnacentral:rRNA from 1 species
UCUGGUGAUUAAUAGCAAAAGGGAAACACCUGUUACCAUACCGAACACAGUAGUUAAGCCUUUUAGCACCAAUGAUACGCCUUUUUCAAGGAUGGAAAGUAGGUCAUUGCCAGAA